GAUGAACGCUGGCGGCGUGCCUAAUACAUGCAAGUCGAGCGAACAGACGAGGAGCUUGCUCCUCUGACGUUAGCGGCGGACGGGUGAGUAACACGUGGAUAACCUACCUAUAAGACUGGGAUAACUUCGGGAAACCGGAGCUAAUACCGGAUAAUAUAUUGAACCGCAUGGUUCAAUAGUGAAAGACGGUUUUGCUGUCACUUAUAGAUGGAUCCGCGCCGCAUUAGCUAGUUGGUAAGGUAACGGCUUACCAAGGCAACGAUGCGUAGCCGACCUGAGAGGGUGAUCGGCCACAGUGGAACUGAGACACGGUCCAGACUCCUACGGGAGGCAGCAGUAGGGAAUCGUCCGCAAUGGGCGAAAGCCUGACGGAGCAACGCCGCGUGAGUGAUGAAGGUCUUCGGAUCGUAAAACUCUGUUAUUAGGGAAGAACAAAUGUGUAAGUAACUAUGCACGUCUUGACGGUACCUAAUAAGAAAGCCACGGCUAACUACGUG
rnacentral:rRNA from 1 species